GUGGGGGCCUGCACGCCUGGCCCCUGCGGUUGGCCGGGGCCACUGAGCUGCGAGGCUCGCCUGCAGGGGACCUGAUGGCCAGUGUGAGGCCCCAGCGCCGUGGCUUCCUUUCUGCCGAAGCAACUAGCGAUGAGGCUUCCGACAGCGGCGGCUCCAUCCUCCCGGGGCUCCAUCCCCCCGGGGCUCCAUCCCCCCGGGGCUCCAUCCUCCCUCCCGGGGCUCCAUCCCCCCGGGGCUCCAUCCUCCCUCCUGGGGCUCCAUCCUCCCUCCCGGGGCUCCAUCCUCCCGGAGUGAGGGCGGCGUGGAGCAGAGCCUGUCUGAGCACUGAGGACGCGAAGCCUGGGCGAGACAUAAACCUUGCUGUUUCCGGUGGCGUCUGUUCCGCAGUGUGACCCAGCCUGCCCCGAGAGCUGCACCACCCUCAAGGUGACCCGAAGCAGACUUAUCUCGUCUCCAAACUGCUACCCUCGGUCACCUCCCUGUUCCUGCCGGCUCCUCUGCUUCCCCAAGCCUGAGACUCGGGGCGCCCUCCUCCUUCCGUCCUCCAUGCCCAUCAGCCAGGAAGUUCUGCUGAGAAUAGACCCCUUUCCUUCCACCUCCUCUGCACGAGUACCCGCAACGGCUCAGGACGAACUAACAGACCUGCGCUCCCCUCUGAGCCUCUCGAUACGUCCUGCACUUGAGCCCCGGCCUUGUCUCCCGAACAUCAGUCUCACCUGUCGAUCUCCUGGACCACGUCCUGCCUUCCUCCCCGUCAGGAAAGAAAUCUUCUCCCAGAAGCCCCUCUCCCUGGACCACAUGCUGAUGCCCUGCCUACAAGGUGAGCAGUGAAGGUGGGUAAGGCUUCUGUGUUUCCAUGGUUUCCAUGGUGACUGUCAUCUCUGUCACCUGGACUGCAGCCGCAGCCUCUUACCUGCUCGCCCAGCUUCUGCUCCGGCCUCUCCCCCAUCUGCCUGUCUGCCACAAACUGCGGAUGAACACGUUUUAAAGUACAAUGUGUGCAGCCGGUAUAACGUCAAUGUGUUUUCUCUUCUCCAUCAAGACUAGGCCCUGGGACUUCCCUGGUGGCGCAGUGGUUCAGACUACACGCUCCCAAUGCGGGGGGCUUGGGUUCAAUCCCUGGUCAGGGAACUAGAUCCCACAUGCAUGCUGCAACUAAGAAUUCGCACGCCACAACUAAGGAGCCCGCGA